GAUGAACGCUGGCGGCGUGCUUAACACAUGCAAGUCGAGCGAAGCACUUAAGUUUGAUUCUUCGGAUGAAGACUUUUGUGACUGAGCGGGCGACGGGUCAAGGUACCGCGUAGGUAACCGUGCCUCAUACAGGGGGAUAACAGUUAGAAAUGACUGCUAAUACCGCAUAAGACCAACAGGGUCGCAUGACCCGGUGGUAAAAACUCCGGUGGUAUGAGAUGGACCCGCGUCUGAUUAGCUAGUUGGUGGGGUAACGGCUCACCAAGGCGACGAUCAGUAGCCGACCUGAGAGGGUGACCGGCCACAUUGGGACUGAGACACGGCCCAA
rnacentral:rRNA from 1 species